UACGUAGGGUGCGAGCGUUAAUCGGAAUUACUGGGCGUAAAGCGUGCGCAGGCGGUAAUGCAAGACAGAUGUGAAAUCCCCGGGCUUAACCUGGGAACUGCAUUUGUGACUGCAUUGCUGGAGUGCGGCAGAGGGGGGAUGGAAUUCCGCGUGUAGCAGUGAAAUGCGUAGAUAUGCGGAGGAACACCGAUGGCGAAGGCAAUCCCCCUGGGCCUGCACUGACGCUCAUGCACGAAAGCGUGGGGAGCAAACAGG
rnacentral:rRNA from 1 species